ensembl:snRNA U2 U2 spliceosomal RNA
AUUGCUUCUCAGCCUUUUGGCUAAGAUCAAAUACUACAGUUGAUCUUAGCCAAAAUGUUUUUUCUUUCUAAAGAAGGCUGCAGGGGAAAAAAAUAUUGUCCUUGGAUAGAGGAUGUAUCAGAUGUUAAACUGACAGGUAGGACCAUAUGUUAAAUGGAUUUUUGGAGCAGGGAGAUGGAGUAGGAGCUUGCUCCAUCCACUCCACACAUUGACCUGGUAUUGCAGUACUGCCAGGAAUGGUGCACCCCCU